AUUGAACGCUGGCGGCAGGCUUAACACAUGCAAGUCGAGCGGAGAUGAGGUGCUUGCACCUUAUCUUAGCGGCGGACGGGUGAGUAAUGCCUAGGAAUCUGCCUGGUAGUGGGGGACACCGUUUCGAUAGGAACGCUAAUACCGCAUCCGUCCUACGGGAGACAGCAGGGGACCUUCGGGUCUUGCGCUAUCAGAUGGGCCUAGGUCGGAUUAGCUAGUUGGUGAGGUAAUGGCUCACCAAGGCGACGUUCCGUAACUGGUCUGAGAGGAUGAUCAGUCACACUGGAACGGAGACACGGUCCAGACUCCUACGGGAGGAAGCAGUGGGGAAUAUUGGACAAUGGGCGAAAGCCUGAUCCAGCCAUGCCGCGUGUGUGAAGAAGGUCUUCGGAUUGUAAAGCACUUUAAGUUGGGAGGAAGGGCAGUAAGUUAAUACCUUGCUGUUUUGACGUUACCGACAGAAUAAGCACCGGCUAACUCUGUGCCAGCAGCCGCCGUAAGAC
rnacentral:rRNA from 1 species